UGAGGAAUAUUGCGCAAUGGAGGAAACUCUGACGCAGCAACGCCGUGUGGGGGAUGAAGUUCUAUGGAGCGUAAACCCCUGUAAGCAGGGACGAAAGUUUCGUAGUCGAACAGGCUGCGGGAUUGACGGUACCUGCAGAGUAAGCUCCGGCUAACUCCGUGCCAGCAGCCGCGGUAAUACGGGGGGAGCGAGCGUUGUCCGGAAUUACUGGGCGUAAAGGGCGUGUAGGCGGUUUAAUAAGUCAGAUGUUAAAGCUCCCGGCUCAACCGGGGAACGUCAUUUGAGACUGUUAGGCUUGAGUGCGAGAGAGGGUAGUGGAAUUCCCAGUGUAGCGGUGAAAUGCGUAGAUAUUGGGAAGAACACCAGUAGCGAAGGCGGCUACCUGGCUCGCAACUGACGCUAAGGCGCGAAAGCGUGGGGAGCAAACAGG
rnacentral:rRNA from 1 species